AUCCAGCUGACAAGUCUUAAACAGAACGAAAUGUGCAUCUUGGAU
rnacentral:hammerhead_ribozyme from 1 species